GAUUGGGAUGCAGCACUAGGCAGAGGGUGUCAGAAGGAGAAAAAGUUAGUUAGAAAGAUAUUUCAUAUCAGACCUUCUUGA
rnacentral:lncRNA from 1 species